rnacentral:rRNA from 1 species
AUUGAACGCUGGCGGCAGGCCUAACACAUGCAAGUCGAACGAGUGGCGGACGGGUGAGUAAUGUCUGGGAAACUGCCUGAUGGAGGGGGAUAACUACUGGAAACGGUAGCUAAUACCGCAUACCAUCGGAUGUGCCCAGAUGGGAUUAGCUAGUAGGUGGGGUAACGGCUCACCUAGGCGACGAGCCCUAGCUGGUCUGAGAGGAUGACCAGCCACACUGGAACUGAGACACGGUCCAGACUCCUACGGGAGGCAGCGGUGGGGAAUAUUGCACAAUGGGCGCAAGCCUGAUGCAGCCAUGCCGCGUGUAUGAAGAAGGCCUUCGGGGUGUAAAGUACUUUCAGCGGGGAAGCGGUACCCGCAGAAGAAGCACCGGCUAACUCCGUGCCAGCCGCCGCGGUAAUAC